rnacentral:lncRNA from 1 species
GAAUAUAACCACAUCUUUAUUUAAAGCUUUCAAAUGGAACAUAGUAUUUAGUUUCCUUGGAAAAGGAAAAAGUGAGAACCAAAAGGCAAAAUGCAAUUACACAUGAAAAUUCUUCUCAUAAAUGGAUCUAUACUCUGUGCAAUCUGAGUGGAGUUACUGACCAUGGUAGUAAGGUGCACUGGGUAGCUGGAAGGUACACGCUGUUGCAAGCUCUCGUAAGUAUGUUCAUCUAGGAGUGGCAGAAUUGUGCAGUUAAACUCACUACAGACCAGCCCAUUUACCAGUCAUUCCAGCAGCGUGUAGUCAGACACCAAAGCAAGACUCUGCUUUUGGAAAAGCUAUGUGGUGUUUUAGGGGUUAUGUUGUUGAUGGCAAACCCAAGAACUUUCCUUUAAACUCAGGCUGUGAAGUUAAAGCAGCAUCUACUCUGGGAGACAAUGUCUUUUUAAGGAUCACCAACAAAUCUUAUGUGUAGAAUAUAUAUAUACACACACUACAACGAGGCAAUCACUUGGAGCUUGCAGGGCAUCUCUGCUGAAUUAAUAAAAAAGCAGACGUUCGUUAGUUAAAAAUUGUUGCUUUUCAUGUUCACUAAGUGUGAUCCAUCGUUAAAGAUAGAUACCUUAAGCCCAGGUUUUGGGGUGGUUUGCUUUUUGCCUCACAUUGCUUGUGCAACCUUUAAACAACAAGUAACUGGAGGAAGGACUUUGCCUUGGGUAUAGAUGAGCUGGAGCCGUUCAGUCAUGCCCUGGAGGAGAGAUGCAGCAGCACCAGGAGAGGUGAUGCUCCAGGGAAGCGCUGGCCCACGGGAGCUGGAUGUACAACGCAAGGGGUGAGCCCUGGGAGUACAAACACGCUACGUAAUGUGCUUUACUAAGGACACCCAAAGCCUGCAUCCACUUGCUGGCGCUGCAGACAAACACAAGAGCAGCCCACAGAGCUCAAGACAGGUAUGACGCUGCCUUUCCCAACUCCCGUGCAUGUGUCCAAUGCUCUUUCCCACAGGGAAGUACCUCAACAGCAAAUAUCCCUUUUUAGGCUGAGUGUUGCACAACAAAAUGUUAACACGCUGAGUAAAUUUAAAAUUACCAACUCUACUGCUAAGGUUAUGCCCUAACACAGCAGCAGCUUUAGAUUAAGGCGGGGAAGAAAAAUUCUUCACCCCUACAUUAAUCCUAUUUAUUCAUUUCAGUUUCAUUAUGCUUUGAUAAUUUUCUAAUCUCUCUUUUGUGAGAAGACAAUUUUCUGAAACAAUUACUCUUGUUGAUGCCUUCUGCAAGAAAGAGGAAUUGUUUUUCCCUUGGGGGAAAAAUUGAUUUUCCCUUCGAGGGGAAAAAAAAUCUGCCUCAAGUCUUGCACAUGGCCUCAUACCCCCAGACAGACACUUCGGAGACACUGACGUUUCAACAAAUUUAAGCAAACUGAACCCGGCACUAAAAGCUAUCGCACUGUGAGAAUAAACCUAUCGCUCUGCAGCAAUGCCAUUUCUGCAGCACUCUUACCCUUUCCAAAUCUACCUGCCACGGGAAGCAGCCCCCUGCGCGGCACAGCAUGGCACAGCAGAGCACGCACUUCUUCCAGCACACUCAUCAGCAACACCAAAACCACGUGCAAGGGGGGUGCUGCUGCUGCUGCUCCCCAGAAAGCAGCAUCUUUGCAGCCUCAAUGUUCCAUGUAACCGCCUGUCCGGCUACUUCUGCUUCAGCUGUGCAAGGUUUUCAAGGGCCAAAAGCAGCAGGCAUCAUAACUAAUACAUCUUAAGACUCAAUAUUAAGGGUUCUCAAGUACUUUAAUGUUCAACACUGCUUCCAGCCUUUUGAGAAAUGCCUGACACCAAAAUGAAGCCAUUUUACCAUCUGCCUCAAGUCCUUCACCUCACACUUCACCUCCUUGGUCAGGAGUUAAAUUUCAAUACUAAUAAAUAGCUACAUACUGAAAAAGUCAUAUUUAAUCAAAAAGUGGGUUUAUUAGACUUUAUAAAAAAGAAUAAAUGUGAGUUCUUGUAGCAUUUGUAUGUAACUACUAAGUGCAUGAAGGAACUGAUCAAGACAGUUACUGAAAACUGCCCUGCCCCACUCUGUCAGCCUUUGGCCACCCCUUCAGCUUUCUUGGUAAUAAGUUUGAAGGCAAAAGCAAUCACCACUUGCUGCAAAUUAACCUUGAAGCCUCUCUCCACCUCUGCUGGUACUAGUCAGCUUCUCGGCUGUACUCUGAUACGCCAAAGCAUUCCAGAGGAAAACAAAUACCAUCAAACUAUUUCCACUAGGUUAAUGCUACACCAGCCUCCAUCUCUAGCCAAUAGAUGUUGCUCAGGUUCAACACAGAAGUUGUUUUAAGGGAAGGAAAAACGAAAAAAAAGCAACAAAUCCUCCUAUGCUCCUCUUAAUCUGAAUAUAAUCUGUGUAUAAAAUUUCUCCUUAUUUUGUUGCUACGAUAUCUUAAAUAACUUUCCUGUGACUGUGAUUUACUAAGUAUGCAUAUCUACCUAUCUACACACGUACCAGUACACUGAUUCAAUAAAUUAAAGCUCAAAACACUAAUUGUGAGCACAAUAUUUACAAACUGCAAUAAAUUAAGGAUUAAAAUGUGUGUGACAUUAAAUAAGGAUCUCAAAGACCCCACCAAGUAGCAACAACUGCCAACUUCCAUAGGAAAACCUUGCCAAAUGCUGCGCUGCUACCCGAGGCCAGGAGCGCGUGUGCAGGCCAGAGCAGGGCGAGGAGCACGGUGCUACGUGAUGCUCACCCAACAUGUCCCAAGCACGGGGCCAGGGACUUCAGCCUUUCGGACCGAUGACCUGGGGCCACAGCACUUGCGUGGUGGCAGCACCACAAACCCCAGGCGCUGGAAUAGAGACCUAUAUGUGUCUCUCCGGAUCUGCAAGGCGAGCUUCUGGGGGAGAACACGUAACCAAACAAACCCUCAAGUUUUACUCAAAGUUAUUAAGAAUAGUAUGAAGCCAGAAAAUGUCAUUCAAAACAAAGACUCACUCUGACAUAGUGCUUUGGCCAUAGAUGCAGAAAUCAAAACUGCCCAUUGCCUCAGCAUUAUAUGAAGUGGAGGGUAUUUCCAAGGCUAUUUUAGCACAAUUUUAAACUGUAAAAAGGGAAAAAUUCACCAUGCUGUAUGUUCUCAGUUUAUCCUUUGCCAAACCAGAAAUCAUUAUCAAGAGAUAAAAUUGUUCCUGAAGAAAACUACCAAAGCUGAGUGACCAUGAACAGCAAGGACCAUCACUCUGACCACACGUGCCUUUUUGAGAGCUGAGAUGUUUUUUUAAAUAGGGAGCUCACUUGAGGGCAUUCACUGGAGGAGAAUGCCAGGAGUGGGAUGGUACAAUUCACAGAAUCACACAGAAUGGUUUGGGUUGGAAGGGACCUUAAAGCUCACCCAAUUCCAACCUCCCUGCCAUGGGCAGGGACACCUUCCACCAGAUCAGGUUGCUCAAAGCCCCGUCCAACGUGGCCUUGAACACUGUCAGGGAUGGGGCAGCCACAGCUUCUCUGGGCAACCUGUGCCAGUGGAUGACCUUCUUCCCAAUAUCUAAUCUAAACCUACCCUUUUCCAGUUUAAAGCCGUGCUCCUUUGUCCUAUCCCUAUAUGCCCUUGCAAAAAGCCCUUCUCCAGAAUCAAGAGGACAGAAGCAGAUGAAUGGCUAAAGAUGAAUCAAGCUAGAUCAGAAAAACUCUCAAUCAUCAAUCCUUUCCUAACCAGUACUAAAUCACUGCUUUCCUCCUUUCUUCCUUUUUCUCUUCAUCCUUCAUUAAGAAAUUCAUCCCAGCAGAACUAGGGAAAAGCAGCUAUUCCCCUAAAGCAGCACAGUGACUAAGCAAAGGUACCACCCCAACAAAGCGCAGGACACAGAAGACAAUGCAACAGUUGAAGCUUUUUACAUGCAGUGCCCAUGAUAUCAAUGCUUUUCCUGCAUAUACAUGUCCACAGUCCUCUCGCAGCUGCACAUUUCAGACUGACAUAACAACCACCGUUUGGUUCUGACCUGUGGGUACAACAGAAGAGCCUCUUGCAAGCUUCACUGCACUCAACUUUAUCAAAUCAAAAAUCAAGAAAAAUAGGAAGCAGCGUGAAUUAAGGCAGGCAGCCACCUAUUAGAAGCAUCCCUACUUGAAAAAUUUAAGUAUCUGCCCAAAGGACUGCACUGUCAUCCUGGGCUGAAGGAUUAUCAAACCCCAUGCACCCCAGGAAAGGUUUCUGCUGACCAAAGAACUUCACAACCGAUCUGGCGAUUCAGCCUCUGCCUAUGAAGGAAUUUCUUUCCAGGCCAGUAAGAGCCCCGGGUUUACUGAGCGAGUGUCUCUUUACGGCUUUAUUGCCUUUUCCUGGCACUCCCUCGUCUUGUGGGCAUUUGCAGCCCUGGUUUGUAGACACUUCCCACUAGAGAGACUAUUUCAGCUUUGACACGAAGCUAACUCUAGCAGUAGAAGGAAGCCUUUGCGCUGGCACAGAUACCCACGGAUCCGAACUGGUGAAGGAAGCCAUUUAACCUCACCCUGCAGGUCGGUACCACAUCACAGGUCCUGCAGUUAAGGCUACAUCCCCAUUCCUGGCAUCCCCUAUCUACUUAUUUCCCCUUCUCUACUGGGCAGACGAUCAGCAACUGCCUGUAAAAUUAACAGGUGAUAAACCCAUACAACUUCUCUUGUAAUCUAGUUUUCCCAAAGAAAAAGUACAACUCACUGGUACAGAAAGUCUCCAUCUGAAGAAUGGCUCAAAUGAGUAACUAUUAUACAAAUAUACUCAUGCUAUCUCUUCCGAAGGUACAGA